CUACUGUGUGCAGAUGGUUGCUGAGCACCUACUGUGCACCAGAUGCCGGUGCUGGGGGAUGGCGGUGAGGUAGACAGGCCACCUGCUCCUCUGCCCAGUGAUGGGAGACAGACCCCGAGCCCAGUUCCCCAGCUGUAACCCCGGGGCCAAGCUCAGUCCUGGGCACACGACACAAGGGCUUAAGACACAAGGGAGGCUGUAGAGGAGACGUGCGUUGGCACGCAGCCCCGAUGGCAAGAAGCUGGUGCCCAGCUGGAGAGGGGCUGUGGGCUGGAUUGUGUACCCCUGCCCCCACCCCCGGCUUAUAUGUUGAAGGACUGAAGAUGAUUGAAGACCCGUCCAGGAAGGCCACGUGACGGCCCAGCCAGUGGGCAGCCGUCUGCCAGGCAGCAAGAGGGCCCUCGCCGGAACCCAGCCACACCUGCACCCCGGUCCAGACUCCCAGCUUCCGGACCUGCGA